AGCUUUGCGCAGUGGCAGUAUCGUAGCCAAUGAGGUUUAUCCGAGGCGCGAUUAUUGCUAAUUGAAAAUGUCGGUACUUUGAAGCUUGUUUAUUCAGCAAUAUUUCACCAAGACCUGUUCGGUUUUGUUUUACCACAGUCU
rnacentral:snRNA from 1 species